AGGACGAACGCUGGCGGCGUGCCUAACACAUGCAAGUGGAGCGACGAACCGGGCUUCGGCCCGGGGCAAAGCCGCGAACGGGUGAGUAACACGUGGGUAACCUGCCCUGAUGAUUGGGACAACCCGAGGAAACUCGGGCUAAUACCAAAUGUGCCCUCCGACUCUAAGGUCGAUGGGGAAAGGAAGCUUCGGCCUCCGCAUCGGGAUGGGCCCGCGGCCCAUUAGCUUGUUGGUGAGGUAAUGGCUCACCAAGGCUACGACGGGUA
rnacentral:rRNA from 1 species